rnacentral:rRNA from 1 species
GAUGAACGCUGGCGGCGUGCCUAAUACAUGCAAGUCGAGCGAACAGAUGAGGAGCUUGCUCCUCUGACGUUAGCGGCGGACGGGUGAGUAACACGUGGAUAACCUACCUAUAAGGCUGGGAUAACUUCGGGAAACCGGGGCUAAUACCGGAUAAUAUAUUGAACCGCAUGGUUCAAUAGUGAAAGACGGUUUUGCUGUCACUUAUAGAUGGAUCCGCGCCGCAUUAGCUAGUUGGUAAGGUAACGGCUUACCAAGGCAACGAUGCGUAGCCGACCUGAGAGGGUGAUCGGCCACACUGGAACUGAGACACGGUCCAGACUCCUACGGGAGGCAGCAGUAGGGAAUCUUCCGCAAUGGGCGAAAGCCUGACGGAGCAACGCCGCGUGAGUGAUGAAGGUCUUCGGAUCGUAAAACUCUGUUAUUAGGGAAGAACAAAUGUGUAAGUAACUAUGCACGUCUUGACGGUACCUAAUCAGAAAGCCACGGCUAACUACGUG